UUUUCCACUCCCUCAUCAGUCCCAGUGUUUACAUGAUGGCACCGCAUGGCGUGUGUUUAAGCCUAAGCCCCGCCCCUCUUGGCCUGAGACGUGGUUCUGACGCGAUGACGUCACCACGUAAGUUGUUGGGUUGGAGACUUUGAUGGCGUCGAAGGCUCGGAGCUGGAGAGGGACGCAGUAGAGAUGGCCUCGGCUCGGAUAUUAUGACUAAUGCCUAUUUGAUCGACGUUUAUUUGCUGCUUACUAACUGCACGGGUUUCGGGUGAACCUUUGGCUUCUCAUCGGUCCUGCAGCUGAUUUCCAUGUCUUACGUGUAAGAGUUUCCAAACAGGAUCAUCAGGACUGCUCACUGUCCGUUACCGAUUGUCUGACUGGUCCCGGCCGUUCCUCGUUGGUUGACCCACUCCUUCCCCGGCGCCAUGGUAAAGCACCUUCCCCUCAUGCAUGCUUUUGAAACAGUGACUGCUGUGUGUCCGGGGGCCAGCGCUGCGUUCUGCAGAAUGAGAAACUCCCCAUUGAUUUUUCCUUUUUAAAUCAGCGCUGCUUACCAGGAAGCAGACGGUCUAAUCAGCU